AGUCUGCUAGAACCCCAGUUGUGUUACUCUUGAUUGGUCUGCUGUGAGCAUAGAUUUUUUUGCAGGGAACUGAGGUUUUACUAUUUGAGCACAGAUUUAUCAAUUGGCUGUUUACAAUCUCCCAAGUCCUAUUUACAGUUCAACCAGACUUUCAUUUUUCAUACAGGUGAAAACUAAGAACUGAAUAUCAAACGCACAGUUCUUUAAUCAGUGUUUGAAGUCUGAACUUAAAAUUCUUUUGGAAACAAGGUCAGGUAUUAAAAAUUAAUCUCAAUUGAACCGCUAGGUUUAAAUACAUUCCUAGAAGCAAGUUUUCUUUGUUAUGGUAUACCGAAAGACUAAGACUGAAUUUUUAUUUCUUUGACAACUACUUCUGAAAAUAAGAUGAAUUCUAUGUUUCUAUGAAGAGUAGUGAGCUUCUAAGUAGUGCUGCAUUUAAGGUGGGGAAAUUGAAUCUAAUGAACUAAAUAACCAACCAUUACCAGGAUCUGCCUCAGGCUGUAUAGGAUUCAAAGACCUGAAAUUAAGUCCUGUAAUUAGACCAGGCCCUGCGUCCAAGUGAAAUGAUAAACAACUUACUAUAGCCUUCACAGCUGAAACACAGUCUUAGCAAUAUUGUCCAGGCAACUUUUGAUUUAACUGGUGUGGGAAAUCAUCGGUAACUCGGUAAGUGCAACAGACGUUUAAAUCCAGCCUUGAAGCAUGAAGUUAGAAGUAGUAAAGCACCAACAUUUGGCACAAAAGUGGACUUAUGUCACUGUUUAAGUCUGGUUCUUGAGAUACCAACAGGAAGAAUCAAAGAUAAAUCAAAUGAGACAUUUGCAGGAAAAAUAGAGUGAAACAGCCUCUAAUGCACAGGUAAGGCUGGCUAACCUGGGAGAUCUUUUCGAUGCUUUUUAUCAAAUUCUGAGAACUCUCUCUUCCAGAUUUCUGUUUCUUUUUUAAGGCCAAAAACCUUUGUCUCCCUUGCCAAUAUGAAAUGAAAUACAAGAAGAUAAUGACUACAAAUAGCACAAAACAGAAUCGCCUGGCAGAAGUCAGAGAGCACGAUGCUUGCAUAUAGGAUAUGUUAAUUUUCUACCCUGCAAUACAAAUUGUCUUUAUUUAAAGCCACUGUUGGGGAAAAAAGCAAGCUGGCAAUGUGCAAGCCUAUCAUUGUGCAGUACUUGUAAAUGAAUUAUCAGAUUAUCUACAUAAAUGAAUGCAAUUACUGUCAAACUGCAUACUGCAAAUGUUACCCCAUUAUAUUGUGCCUGAAGAGGCACAAAUUUAUUGUCCAUUUCCUGUUUAAUCACACCUAGUGAAGACUUACUGAAUCCUCACCAUUUUUACUUGUGCAGCUUACAAACUGGCAACGCUA